CAGCCGCCGCGGUAAUACGGAGGGUGCAAGCGUUAAUCGGAAUUACUGGGCGUAAAGCGCACGCAGGCGGUCUGACAAGUCAGAUGUGAAAUCCCCGGGCUUAACCUGGGAACUGCAUUUGAAACUGUCAGGCUGGAGUCUUGUAGAGGGGGGUAGAAUUCCAGGUGUAGUGGUGAAAUGCGUAGAGAUCUGGAGGAAUACCGGUGGCGAAGGCGGCCCCCUGGACAAAGACUGACGCUCAGGUGCGAAAGCGUGGGGAGCAAACAGGAUUAGAUACCCGCGUAGUCCCUGUCUCUUAUAA
rnacentral:rRNA from 1 species